GCAAGUCGAACGCGAACGGUUUCCUUCGGGGGACUUAGUAGAGUGGCGAACGGGUGAGUAACGCGUAGGUGAUCUACCUUUAAGUGGGGGAUAGCCCAGGGAAACCUGGAUUAAUACCGCAUGUGAUCGACGUAAGUCGAUCAAAGACGGCCUCUGUUACAAGCUGUUGCUUAAAGAUGAGCCUGCGUCCUAUUAGCUAGUUGGUAAGGUAAUGGCUUACCAAGGCGAUUAUAGGUAGGCGGCCUUAACGGGUGGUC
rnacentral:rRNA from 1 species